rnacentral:rRNA from 1 species
CCCUUAGAUGUUCUGGGCCGCACGCGUGCUACACUGAACGGUUCAAUGGGUAAGGUAGUGCGAAAGCAUGACCUAAUCUCGAAAUCCGUUCGUGCUGGGGAUAGAAGCUUGCAAUUAUCCUUCUUGAACGAGGAAUACCUUGUAAGCGUGAGUCAUCAUCUCACGCUGAAUACGUCCCUGCCCUUUGUACACACCGCCCGUCGCUCCUACCGAUUGAGUGUUCCGGUGAGGCUUUGGGAGAAUGGCCCCAACAUGAGUUUAUCGUGUUUUGCCGUUUGAACUUAGUCAAACCUUAUCACUUAGAGGAAGGAGAAGUCGUAACA